rnacentral:rRNA from 1 species
GGGAUAACAGGAGGAAACUCCUGCUAAUACCGCAUAGCCAUGAGCACCGCAUGGAGCUCAUGCCAAAUAUCCUUUCGGGGAUAGCGCAGGGAUGGACCUAUGGCGCAUUAGCUUGUUGGCGGGGCAACGGCCCACCAAGGCAACGAUGCGUAGCCGGCCUGAGAGGGCGGACGGCCACAUUGGGACUGAGACACGGCCCAGACUCCUACGGGAGGCAGCAGUAGGGAAUUUUCGGCAAUGGGGGAAACCCUGACCGAGCAACGCCGCGUGAGCGAAGAAGGCCUUCGGGUCGUAAAGCUCUGUUGUAAAGGAAGAACGGCGCAUACAGGAAAUGGUAUGCGAGUGACGGUACUUUACCAGAAAGCCACGGCUAACUACGUGCCAGCAGCCGCGGUAAUACGUAGGUGGCGAGCGUUAUCCGGAAUCAUUGGGCGUAAAGAGGGAGCAGGCGGCCGCAAGGGUCUGUGGUGAAAGACCGAAGCUAAACUUCGGUAAGCCAUGGAAACCGGGCGGCUAGAGUGCGGAAGAGGAUCGUGGAAUUCCAUGUGUAGCGGUGAAAUGCGUAGAUAUAUGGAGGAACACCAGUGGCGAAGGCGACGGUCUGGGCCGCAACUGACGCUCAUUCCCGAAAGCGUGGGGAGCAAAUAGGAUUAGAUACCCUAGUAGUCCACGCCGUAA